rnacentral:rRNA from 2 species
GCCGAGCGGUAGAGAUUCUUCGGAAUCUUGAGAGCGGCGUACGGGUGCGGAACACGUGUGCAACCUACCUUUAUCAGGGGGAUAGCCUUUCGAAAGGAAGAUUAAUACCCCAUAAUAUAUUGAAUGGCAUCAUUUAAUAUUGAAAACUCCGGUGGAUAGAGAUGGGCACGCGCAAGAUUAGAUAGUUGGUAGGGUAACGGCCUACCAAGUCAAUGAUCUUUAGGGGGCCUGAGAGGGUGAUCCCCCACACUGGUACUGAGACACGGACCAGACUCCUACGGGAGGCAGCAGUGAGGAAUAUUGGACAAUGGGUGAGAGCCUGAUCCAGCCAUCCCGCGUGAAGGACGACGGCCCUAUGGGUUGUAAACUUCUUUUGUAUAGGGAUAAACCUACUCUCGUGAGAGUAGCUGAAGGUACUAUACGAAUAAGCACCGGCUAACUCCGUGCCAGCAGCCGCGGUAAUACGGAGGGUGCAAGCGUUAUCCGGAUUUAUUGGGUUUAAAGGGUCCGUAGGCGGAUCUGUAAGUCAGUGGUGAAAUCUCAUAGCUUAACUAUGAAACUGCCAUUGAUACUGCAGGUCUUGAGUAAAGUAGAAGUGGCUGGAAUAAGUAGUGUAGCGGUGAAAUGCAUAGAUAUUACUUAGAACACCAAUUGCGAAGGCAGGUCACUAUGUUUUAACUGACGCUGAUGG